rnacentral:lncRNA from 1 species
AAUACGUCAAUGAUGAAGAAAAGGAGAUGUGGUAAAUACGUCCAUGAAAGGACAAUCAAAUGGUUAGACACCUUGCCCAUUAUUCUGUCAUAUUUUUUUUGAAACUAUCGACUUUUCUAACUUGCAUUGUUUUGUUAGUUUACUGUUGUUUUUUGCAAUAUUUUCUUUUUCUUUUUAUGCUCCAAUAUUCAACUAAUUUCUAUAUUACUAAUGAUUAUUGC